AAAAAACAUUCGAAUUCAACCUGCAUUUAACUCUUUUAUUAAGUGUAUGAGCUCAUUUUAUAUUUAAGUCAUUUAAUGAUAUACUCAAUGAAUUAUAAUAACUGAAAGAGGAAUUCCACUUCUUCUCUUGAGGUACCGUCUUCUAGUGACCCUUCACUUUUCUUUACUGGUUUUUCACAGCUCUCCUUCAUUUCUCUCUCUUUUCGAGCAGGGAAGGAAUUUUCCCCCUGCCCGGAGAGUGGAUUAUCCCUUCCCGCCUUCGAGCAAGAUUACAAAUAGGCUUUUAUGGGUGUAUUUCGGAUGUAGAUCCAAUGGCACCGAGGAGAGGGUUACUUUGGAUCUACUCAGCUUUGGUUCCCUCCACAGAAUACCCAACGAAUUUAGGAAAUUGAAAAUAAAUUAUUAAAGAGAUUUCAAAUAUGAGCCUUUUAUAUACUAAACAUGUCCAUUAAAUUUAAAAAUUAAAUAAAU
rnacentral:misc_RNA from 1 species